rnacentral:rRNA from 1 species
UACGAAGGGGGCUAGCGUUGCUCGGAAUCACUGGGCGUAAAGCGCACGUAGGCGGCUUCUUAAGUCAGGGGUGAAAUCCUGGGGCUCAACCCCAGAACUGCCCUUGAUACUGAGGAGCUUGAGUCCGGGAGAGGUGAGUGGAACUCCGAGUGUAGAGGUGAAAUUCGUAGAUAUUCGGAAGAACACCAGUGGCGAAGGCGGCCCCCUGGUUCGAUACUGACGCUGAGGUGCGAAAGCGUGGGGAGCAAACAGG